rnacentral:snRNA from 1 species
GUGCUCACCUGAAAGGGUAUUUCCAAGAUCAAGAAGGGCCAUGAGCUAAGGCAACUGACUCCAUUGCACAUGGGAGAAGAGUCUCAAUCAACUGCCCAUGUGGGAUAGUGGAUGUCGUAAGUUGUGGCAGUGGGGGAACGCGUACGCGUGGCCCCUG